AACGAACGCUGGCGGCAGGCUUAACACAUGCAAGUCGAACGAGAUCUUCGGAUCUAGUGGCAGACGGGUGAGGAACACGUGGGAACAUCCCUUUCAGUUCGGAAUAACGUUGGGAAACUAACGCUAAUACCGGAUACGUCCUUCGGGAGAAAGAUUUAUCGCUGAAAGAUUGGCCCGCGUCUGAUUAGCUAGUUGGUGGGGUAAUGGCUCACCAAGGCUACGAUCAGCAGUUGAUCUGAGAGAAUGAUCAGCCACAUUGGGACUGAGACACGGCCCAAACUCCUACGGGAGGCAGCAGUGGGGAAUAUUGGACAAUGGGCGCAAGCCUGAUCCAGCCAUGCCGCGUGAGUGAUGACGGCCUUCGGGUUGUAAAGCUCUUUUGUCCGGGAAGAUAAUGACUGUACCGGAAGAAUAAGCCCCGGCAAACUUCGUGCCAGCAGCCGCAGUAA
rnacentral:rRNA from 1 species